rnacentral:rRNA from 1 species
CAUGAAGUUGGAGUCACUAGUAAUCGCGGAUCAGCAUGCCGCGGUGAAUGCGUUCUCGGGCCUUGUACACACCGCCCGUCACACCAUGAGAGUCGGGAACACCCGAAGUCCGUAGCCUAACCGCAAGGGGGGCGCGGCCGAAGGUGGGCUCGAUAAUUGGGGUGAAGUCGUAACAAGGUAUC